rnacentral:rRNA from 1 species
UAGGGAAUCUUCCGCAAUGGGCGAAAGCCUGACGGAGCAACGCCGCGUGAGUGAUGAAGGUCUUCGGAUCGUAAAACUCUGUUAUUAGGGAAGAACAAAUGUGUAAGUAAGUAUGCACGUCUUGACGGUACCUAAUCAGAAAGCCACGGCUAACUACGUGCCAGCAGCCGCGGUAAUACGUAGGUGGCAAGCGUUAUCCGGAAUUAUUGGGCGUAAAGCGCGCGUAGGCGGUUUUUUAAGUCUGAUGUGAAAGCCCACGGCUCAACCGUGGAGGGUCAUUGGAAACUGGAAAACUUGAGUGCAGAAGAGGAAAGGGGAAUUCCAUGUGUAGCGGUGAAAUGCGCAGAGAUAUGGAGGAACACCAGUGGCGAAGGCGACUUUCUGGUCUGUAACUGACGCUGAUGUGCGAAAGCGUGGGGAUCAAACAGG